rnacentral:rRNA from 1 species
AGUUUGAUCCUGGCUCAGAAUCAACGCUGGCGGCGUGCCUCAGACAUGCAAGUCGAACGAUUAAAGCUCCCUUCGGGGAGUGUAUAGAGUGGCGCACGGGUGAGUAACACGUAAGUAAUCUACCUUCGAGUGGGGAAUAACCCGGGGAAACCCGAGCUAAUACCGCAUAAUGCAGCGGCACCUAAUGGUGACAGUUGUUAAAGAUUUAUCGCUUGAAGAGGAGCUUGCGGCAGAUUAGCUAGUUGGUAAGGUAAUGGCUUACCAAGGCUACGAUCUGUAACCGGUCUAAGAGGACGGUCGGUCACACUGACACUGAAUAACGGGUCAGACUCCUACGGGAGGCAGCAGUCGGGAAUUUUGGGCAAUGGGCGAAAGCCUGACCCAGCAACGCCGCGUGAAGGAUGAAGUAUUUCGGUAUGUAAACUUCGAAAGAAUGGGAAGAAUAAAUGACGGUACCAUUUAUAAGGUCCGGCUAACUACGUGCCAGCAGCCGCGGUAAUACGUAGGGACCAAGCGUUGUUCGGAUUUACUGGGCGUAAAGGGCGCGUAGGCGGCCCUACAAGUCACUUGUGAAAUCUCCGGGCUUAACUCGGAACGGCCAAGUGAAACUGUAGAGCUAGAGUGUGGAAGGGGCAAUCGGAAUUCUUGGUGUAGCGGUGAAAUGCGUAGAUAUCAAGAGGAACACCUGAGGUGAAGACGGGUUGCUGGGCCAACACUGACGCUGAGGCGCGAAAGCCAGGGGAGCAAACGGGAUUAGAUACCCCGGUAGUCCUGGCCCUAAACGAUGAAUACUUGGUGUCUGGAGUCAUUAAUGCUCCGGGUGCCGUCGCUAACGUUUUUAGUAUUCCGCCUGGGGAGUACGCUCGCAAGAGUGAAACUUAAGGGAUUGACGG